rnacentral:rRNA from 1 species
AUUUUCUUUAAAUUUAAAAAAUUUGGCGGUAAUUUAGUCUAGUUAGAGGAACCUGUUUUUUAAUCGAUAAACCACGUAAUAUCUUACUUAUUUUUGUAUAGAUUAGUUUGUAUACCAUCAUUAACAGAUAAUUUUAUAGGUAGAAUUAAAUUAUUACAAAUAAUUAUAUUAUAAAAAUUAGAUCAAGGUGCAGCUUAUAAAUAAGUUAAAAUGGGUUACAAUAAAUUUUAUUUAUAAUGAAAUAAGAUAAAAAUUAAUAGACUUAGGAAGGAGGAUUUAAUCGUAAUAUGGGUUUAAUAUGCCUAGGAGA